rnacentral:lncRNA from 1 species
CUAUUCGUAAUCAUAUAAGUUAUGAAACAAGGAAGAACUUGUAGGAACUUGUUUAUGUUGAAAUAAUAAGGUUGUUUGAUAAUAAGAAGCAAGAAUGAUGGUUAAAAGGAUUUAGACCAUGUUAAGUCAUGUGAAGUAAAAUCAUAAGUAGUUAUACUUUUAUAAGUUAUUGACUAAUGAAGAACAAGUAAGAGCUUAUCAUGUAAAGUUAAUAAGGUAUGUAUGCCAAGAUGCUAAUAUGAUGGUUAGAAUCCAUUUAGAACAAUGAUCAAAUCGUUAGUAAAGAAGUUAUGCCAGAAUUCACACGAUUAGAUGAUAAUCGUCGAAUUCGUGAAAACCUCGGAAUGGGAGUUGAAUUUUGAUAUUGAACUUGGAAACAUUAGUUUUCAAUGGAGACAAGUCAUAUUUGGCAUUAUAGAGUUACGGACUCGAAAAUGACCGAAUUCCGACUUAGAACGAAGAAACGGGCGUUGAACGUUCACGAUCGUUUAUCGUUUUCGUUAAAAAUGAACUAAUAGGUGAAAUUUUAGUAAACAAAGUCAAAUAGAUAAAAUUCUUGUAUGAACGCAUAGAUUAUGAAAUUUGUGAACCGUAGGCUUUUGAACGGACCAAUUCGGACUUCAAACGAAGAAGUUAUACGUCCGGGAAGUUCGUAAAAAUUUUAAAACUGCAAAAUUGUCUGAGGCACAGAGUCCGCGUCGUGGCGCGACUCAUAGCCUUACAGCUCACGCCGCAGCACAAGGCUUGAACCGAGCAUACUGCUAACUCGCGCCACUAUGCGAGAUGUAGAGUAAAUGGUGGUGCCGCGGUGCCAGUCCCAAGAAAUUGCUAGAAAAGAAUGUGUACAAGUAUAGAAUGAAAGAUAACUCAUUAGUAAUGAACUAAGGUGUUAAUAUAACAUUGUUAAGGCAUUGUUAGACACUUAAUGUAUGACGAUUAAAGGUUAAUAAUAAAUUGAAGGUGAACGUAAUGAAAGAAACGUAAUGUGCGAAGCUGACUAUAGAAAUUUGUUGACCAAGUCGAUUAUGAAUCCAAUGGUUUGCAAUACCAGUAUGGAUUAUGUAAUUACUUAAUGAAUAAUGAUAAGACCUUUCCUAAAUCACUAUUAUAGUGAUGACUUUAAGAAUUUAAUGUUGUUUAAUGAGUAGUUAAACGACGAACGUAAAGUAUAAGGAACGUGAACCGUAUUCAAUAAUGAUAAGAACUAUAACGUUAAGAGUUACAAUUAAAGGUUGUUAAGUAAUACGUAAAUGUAAACGGUAUGCAAUAAAGUGUACUUAACUAACGACGACCGAGUUUCGAUUAAUAACGUAAGGAUGUUAGUAAGCCGUGAGGAAGGAUGGUUAACUCGAAACGAGUUAGAUUAAUGAAGUAAAUCUACGUAAGACAUAGAAGAGAAAGAAGUUGGUAAGAAUAAUGUAAAACAUAAUGGCAAGCCGGAACCAAUAGUAACAAAUCUAAUAUAUGAUUAGAUUGAGAUGAAGGGUAAGAUUCAUUAGGAAUCAUGUAUAUUCAUUUAUGACCUAAUGUGGUAUGUUAUGUGGUUAUGUAUUGUAGAGACUGUAAAGACUGAAAGGAAAAGUUAUUAUACUGUUGAUGAGUGAGUUUUAUACCCAUGAAUUGGAUACAUUCGGGCUUAAUUUAUUGUUGUUCUUAAGUCUUUUAGGAUGUUUUUAUGUGUUUGUGUCUAUUCAUGCAUGUUUUAUGUUAUUUUAUAGGAAUUGGGACAAAAGGAAAUAGAGAAGUCGUUUGUUAUUAUAAACGUAGGUGAGGCGUAAAAGACUUCUUUUGCGACUUGCAUGAUGAAAGUGGAAGCUAACUUUUGGUGGGAGGCUCACUAGGGUGGGGCUAGAACCGAUGGGGUAACGUGGGAAUAGUUCAAGAAGGUUUUCUUCAAGAAUUAUUUCCUCUACAAGCAUUUAAGGGAGGAAGGAGAUUAAUUUCUUAGGAAUUAAGCAAAGGGACAUGAUGGUUCCCCAGUACGCAGCCAGAUUCGAUGAAUUUGCAAGGUUUGAUCCACACUGAGUGGACACUAAGGAGAGGAAGGCUCGUAGGUUUGAGCAGGGCCUGAAACCUUGGCUCUAUAGUAGGGUUUCUGAGUUCAAGAGUGUUUCCUGUGGGACCAUUUUGAAAAAGGUGAUUAUAGCCGAGGGUGGUAGUGAGGUGUUGACUCAAUAUCAUAAAGAGAGGGAGAAUAAGAGCAAGAGGAAAGGGAGGAACAAAGGUAGAGAAUACCAGUGGCAAUAUGCUAAAAAGAAAGAAUUUUUUUUACUCCGGGAAUACUAGAGUGGGACAAGGGGAUCCUAAGCGUAAGAUCAAAGUGUGUAAGACAUGUGGAAAGACUCAUCUAGGAGUCUGUCUGAAAGGGAUUAUAAGUAUCUUUAAACAUUACGGUAGAGAAUGUGGAAAUAACUUUCGUUAAUUAUAUUCGUGGAAAUGGCUUCAUGAAUAAGGAAUGUAAGCAAGUAUCGGUAGAUAAGUACCGAUAAAGUUGAGAUAAUUUGAAGUAAUUCUUGAUACGAAUGAGUUGAGUAACUAUAGAACUUUAAUAAAUUGUUAGAAUAAAAGUAUGGAUCUUCAGUUUUCUAAGUAACCCAAGGUAGUAUUUUAUGGUAAUAAAAUACCGCGAUGCUCUUGUUGUCUAAUGGUGACGCAAGUUAGGAGGAUGUUAAGGAAGAAGAUGAGUCGUUCAGUUACGUAUCGACUAUCGUAACAGGAGUAAGUUAGCAAUUAAGAAUGAAUACCCAUGCCCUAGGAUCGAUGAUCUAUUGGAUCAGUUGAAGAGGGAAAAGAAUUUUUCUAAAAUUGAUUUGCAUACGGGGUAUAGUCGGUGAAACUAAGUAAGAAGGAGGAGGUACCUAAGAUGACAUUUAGACCUCGUUAUAGUUAUGACGAGUCUCUGGUUAUGUCGUUUGGAUUGACUAGUGUACGGAAAUUUGACUUUCCGGAAGGGGUGCUGAGCAAGUUGGUGGCAAAUUGAUAGGUACCCUUGUGAGGUGCUAUGUUUGAAAGUACCAUUAGCGUCACAGGGUGUUCAAAUAAUAUUUGGAUGAGGGUGUUGUAAUGAUCAUUGGUGAUAUUCUAGUCUAAUUUAAGACGUCAGAAGAUCACGCUGAACAUUUGGAGUUAGUGUGAGAAACACUACGGAGGGAGAAGUUAGAUACGAAAUUCACUACGUGUGAAUUGUAGCUUAAAGAGAUAGAUAAAUUUGUUAUUAAGAAGUAUGUUGGGAAUGAGAAGUGAGAAAAUAAUUUUAGAAGCUAAAAGGAAGGUUAAGUGAGGUACCUGUAUUGUCUCUAUAAGAUGAUAUAGGGAAUUUUGUAGUGUAUCUCGAUGUUUCGCAUAGAUGACGAGAUUACGUGCUUAUGUAGCAUGGCAAAGUCAUUAGGUAUGCAUCACGCCAGUUAAUGGAUUAAAAGAAGGCUUAUGAUCUAUAAUUGGCAGCUGUAGUUUUUGAAUUAAAAAUUUGAAUAUAGUAUUUAUACGGUGAGAAGUGUGAGAUAUACACGGACUCUAAGAGUCUGAAAUAUAUCUCUAUACAGAAGAAGUUGAAUAUGAAGUAGAGAAGGUGAUUAGAAUGGAUAAGAGGUUAUGACUAUGAUAUGUUAUAUCAUACAUGGAAGGUAAACGUAGAAGCCGACGUGUUAAAUAGGAAGGGUAGGGAAAAGCUAUCGAUGUUAACGACUCAGAAUGAGUUACUAACGGAGAUGGAAAGAACGGAGCUAGAAGUUAAAUUACGGAAUGAAGUGGUAGAAAUGUUAUUCACGACGUAGGCUCAAUCCACGAUAAUAGAACGAGUUAAUUAAAUACAACUAGGUAACGAGAAGUGCGAGCGAGUGAAGAAGAGGAUGCAAGAUAAAGAGAAGAUCAAGUAUAAUCUUGUUUUGAAGGAGGAAUUUGAGUUGCAAAUAAUUCUAAAUUAAAAGCUAAUGAAAGGGUAAUAGCGUAAUGUGUCAGUAAGUAUGUAAACUUCCAACUCAAAUUAUUGUUAGGAAGUGACAAGUCAUGAAAAAUAAGAUAAUACCUUCGGUGAAGGUAAGUGUGAGGAACCACAAUGCUGAAGAAGCAAAGUGGGGACUCGAGAUUAAAAUAAAGGAAAAUGUUUCCUCAAUGGUGUAUGUAUUAUUAGCGUGAUUCUGGGGACAUAAUCCUUAUAAGGGGGAAAGAGUGUAACGCCCCAGAAAAUUUGGAUUUUUGAGGAUUAAAUUUUUUAUUUUUAUUAUGUGGAUUAAAAUGAAUAUAAUUAAUUAAUUAUGGGAGUAAGCUAUUUAAAGGUCGUUAUAUGACCUAGACAUAGCGGAAUGUCGUAGUAUUUUGACUACGUGGUAGAAUUAAAGUGUUUGAAAUUCCAAGAAGAAAAUAAAAGCUUUCCGAGAAAUUUUUUGAAAAACACUAUUCACGCAUUUCUGCUCGGGAAUUAUUUUUGAAUUUCCGAGAAAUACAUAAUGAUAGAAUAUCGAGGUGAGAUGAAAUAUCCAAUAAAAUACUUUUUUGCCAGCGGACUUAAAACCUAACGGUUAGGGAAAGUAAAUUCCGAGAAGGAAUUUAAAUGCGAUUAAUGAAUUAAAGAAAUUAUUGUAUUAUAUGUAAGUAUUGUACGAGGUAAUGAAUACGAGUAUAAUACGAGGUGUUAUACGAGUAUGAAUGAAUGAUGGUAUGUCGUAUUGAAUAAGUAUACGAGUUAGAAUACGAGAUUAAUACGUGAAUUAUACGUUUUACGGCUUUAAGCCAUAUAUAUUGAAUUUGUAGAAUUGUGUAAGAAAUUGUAAAGCCCAAUAAGAAUUGUUAAGGCCCAAGUGUAGAGAUGUGUAAGCCCAAUGCAAGAUAAUGUUAAAGCCCAAAGUGAUGUAAGGAGCAAGCCCAAUGUAUAAGUUAAGAUUAGUUAAGCUAAAAGCCCAAAGUAAGAACCAAUGAGUUAUUGGAUGGUUUAUACCCAUGGGGCAACCCAUGGAUGACCCAAAGUGGUAGCCAAGUAAAGUACUUGGUGGCUAAGCAAUGGAUAAGUUAUGUAAUGACCAAGUAGAUUUAAGUGUUAAGCAAAGAGUAAGUUAAGUAACUUAAAGGCUAAGCAAAGUGCUUAUGUGUGAUAAGUAAAGUGCUUAUGUGUGGCAACCAAGUUAACUUAAAGGCUAAGUGUUGUGGUGGUCAAGCAAAGUGUGUGGAGGCCAAGUUAACUUAGUGCUUAAGCUUGGAAUAGUAAGGAGGUGAUUAAGGAGGUGGAGGGGAUUAAUGACCAUUAUACCCUAACCUAGCAAGUCCUAUAAAUAGCAAGCUUGGAUUUCAUUAUUCCUUGUUAAAUUUUCAUCCAACAACUUCUCUUAGAGAGCAACUUAUUGGUUAGAGGGAAUAAGCACUUGUAAGUUAAACUUUUAUUGUGAGAUUUUCAAGAAGCAAGAAGAAGAACAAAGCUUAGUCAAGUGAUUAUCAAGGGUAAGAACUUUAACCAUGAAUUUCUUUCUCUUCCAUUGUUAGAGAGGUGGGUAGUGGUAGAACAUGCAUGCUAAGGAAUGAUAGGAAUGAUUAAUCAAUGGACUUAAGCCGUAUAAGUCAUGGAUAAGCUAUUCGUAAUCAUAUAAGUUAUGAAACAAGGAAGAACUUGUAGGAACUUGUUUAUAUUGAAAUAAUAAGGUUGUUUGAUAAUAAGAAGCAAGAAUGAUGGUUAAAAGGAUUUAGACCAUGUUAAGUCAUGUGAAGUAAAAUCAUAAGUAGUUAUACUUUUAUAAGUUAUAGACUAAUGAAGAACAAGUAAGAACUUAUCAUGUAAAUAAGUUAAUGAGGUAUGUAUGCCAAGAUGCUAAUAUGAUAGUUAGAAUCCAUUUAGAACAAUGAUCAAAUCGUUAGUAAAGAAGUUAUGCCAGAAUUCACACGAUUAGACGAUAAUCGUCGAAUUCGUGAAAACCUCGAAAUGGGAGUCGAAUUUUGAUAUUGAGCUUGGAAACAUUAGUUUUCAAUUAAGACAAGUCAUAUUUGGCAUUAUAGAGUUGCGGACUCGAAAAUGACCGAAUUUCGACUUAAAACGAAGAAACGAGCGUUGAACGUUCACGAACGUUUAUCGUUUUCGUUAAAAAUGAACUAAUAGGUGAAAUUUUAGUAAACAAAGUCAAAUAGAUAAAAUUCUUGUAUGAACGCAUAGAUUAUGAAAUUUGUGAACCG